AUUGAACGCUGGCGGCAGGCCUAACACAUGCAAGUCGAACGGUAACAGGAAGAAGCUUGCUUCUUUGCUGACGAGUGGCGGACGGGUGAGUAAUGUCUGGGAAACUGCCUGAUGGAGGGGGAUAACUACUGGAAACGGUAGCUAAUACCGCAUAACGUCGCAAGACCAAAGAGGGGGACUUUCGGGCCUCUUGUCAUCGGAUGUGCCCAGAUGGGAUUAGCUAGUAGGUGGGGUAACGGCUCACCUAGGCGACGAUCCCUAGCUGGUCUGAGAGGAUGACCAGCCACACUGGAACUGAGACACGGCCCAGACUCCUACGGGAGGCAGCGGUGGGGAAUAUUGCACAAUGGGCGCAAGCCUAAUGCAGCCAUGCCGCGUGUAUGAAGAAGGACUUCGGGUUGUAAAGUACUUUCGGCGGGGAGGAAGGGAAUAAAGUUAAUACCUUUUCACAUUGACGUUACCCGCAGAAGAAGCACCGGCUAACUCCGUG
rnacentral:rRNA from 1 species